UUUAAGCACGCUAACCGGACUCUGGAACAUAUAUUUUUUGGACUUCGGUUGGAUUAAGAGAUGGAGUUACCUUUCUGCCACCUCCCUGAUUUUCUGGGCUCAAACCCUAAACGAGGUUGACUCACGACGCAGACAAAGGUAAAGAAGCUGCUUUGAAUUCCACCAAGAUGGCUCAAGUCCCUUAAUAAACUGUAUGACUGGGAAUCUAUGGAGCCUUUUGAAGUUUUAACGCGAUUGAUCUUCUCAUCAAACCUGGUGCACCAAGAACCUUUGCGAAGCACAAGAACUGGUCAGAGCAUUUCAAGCUCUUGGUAACUGAACCUAAGAGUUGGAUUAACCUUUUUUUGCAGAACAUAAACAUAACUGUUUUGUUUUAUGUUCACAGCGACUAGAGACCAAAUAAUUGACACGGCCCUAUUUGGUUGGAGAAAGUAGGACGCAGAGACACACCUGGCCCUUCGCUUCGAGAUGAAUCGUGCAGUCAGAUGCGGCGCGUCGUUAUCGUUCCCAUCUCUUGAAACUGCUGUCUGAUUUAGCUGAAAGUCCGAACCAUCUCGAGUUCAAAUUGAGCACACGGCACAUAACAACGCCUCUCUAGUAGGCGAAGCAUCUGAAGGAUGCGGAGCAACUUCAAAGUUACAAGAAAAGUGGGGGGGCGGGGGGUUUCCCCCCACAAUCUCAGGUCCUCAUCAUAAUUUUUUGCCUGUGGUUCUCGCUUUGACAAGCAUCUGACCUCAUUCCUCAGUCGCCCUGAUUAGUUUGAUAAAGCUGUGCUUCACUUGCUGCCAGGCUUGCAGAGGAAUGAAGAUGGUAUGCUGAGAAAUGACGGAGGGAAAUGUAACUACUUUUCUGUCCAUUUAAUGUCGCUUAAAUUUUCUUAGCGCAAUAAUCUGGUUUCGUCAAAGGAGUCAUCUGUCUUCAGCUUACCUUAGUGAGCUGAUUGAU